ensembl:lncRNA novel transcript
AGACCUGGGCACUGGUCCCAGCUCGCCACCAGCUCUUAGUUGGACCUUGGACAAUCCUUGGACACAUUGGAUCUUCGUUUUUCCUCUGUGAAGUGGCAGGAUUAGACUAGAAGCUGAUACAGUGAAGGUGCUCAGUAAACAGCUGAUGAAUGGAUGCAUGCAUGAAUGAAUGAAUGGCCCGUCUAAGACAGAUCAAGUCUUUAAGGCCCCACGCUUCUCAGGGUGUCACAAAGCCAAGUUUGAAAACCACUGGAUUGAGAAACUACCUUUUGGGUAACCAUGCUCACUAUCUGGGUGACGGGAUCAAUCAUACCCCAUACCUCAGCGUCACACAAUAUACUCAUAUAAUGAACCUGCACAUGUACCCCUUGAAUCU